UGCAUGUUUUUAGAAUGGGAUCUUUAACUCAGCCAUUUGAAGCCUCAAAGGCUGGGUUUUUUAAGAAGCUUUGUUUCUCCUUUUUACUUAUAUUCAGUUCAAAGUGUGAUCUAUGAUUUCCUGAUGGUCCCUGAAACCAUUUUAGGGAAUCUGCAAGGUAAAAACUAUAUUCAUAUUACUAUUAAGAUGUUAUUUAUCUUUUCACUCUGUUGACAUUUAUACUAAUUAUAUAACUUGGCACCUUUGCAGGCAUCAAAGCCAUAGCAUCAGACUGGCAGUAGUCAUUUUCCACCACCCAGACUCUUAGUUCAGACACAAAACACAUUGAUAAAGUCCUAAAAAGUAUUAAUUUUAUUAAAUCUUCUUACUUAUUGUUGAAAAUGAAUCUCAGUAAAUGUUACCAGUGAUAAAUUUUGACUUUUCAAAUGAAAAUUAGAAUUUUAUUGAGCUUGUAUCUACUGUAAGCAUGAUAACUUCCCAGUACUUAAAAAACUUUUCGGAUGAAAUCGUUAAUAUUAAUAAUAUGAUUUUUUAUUGUAUUAAUAGAUUCAUCAACAUCUGUAGGAUUUUCAUAAUUCAGUGAAUCAAUAUUUCCAAUUUCAUCAUGUUAUGAAAUAAUUGCAUGGAUAAGAAAUUUAUUUAAAAUUCAAGAUAGACAAACAGAUUGUAAAAUCUCAGAAUAUGAAAAGUUUAUUUCUGUUCAUCGAUAUUGGUUUCAAUUCCAUAUUGCUAACCAUUUGUUGAGUUUUUGGGUAGUGUCUGAAACAUCUAUUAAAAUACUCCUUUUUCCAACUUCAUAUUUGUGAGGCCAGAUUUCCUUAUACUUCAACCAAACAACAUAUUGCUACAAAGUAUACGUAGAAGCAGUUAGAAUUCAGGUUCUUCUAUUAAGCCAGAUAUUAAAGAGAUUUGCAAGAUCAUAAAAUAGUGCCACUGUUCUCACAAACUCUUUUUUUAUUUUGAAAAAUAUGGUUAUUUUUCAUAAAAUGUUAUUGAUGUUUAUAUAAUGAUCCUAUUUG